rnacentral:rRNA from 1 species
UUUAUUUGGUGUUGUGGGGAAUCAGGACUGUUACUUUGAAAAAAUUAGAGCGUUUAAAGCAGGCUCACGCUUGAAUACAUUAGCAUGGGAUAAUGAAAUAGGACGUUUGAUUCUAUUUUGUUGGUUUCUAGGAUCGACGUAAUGAUUAAUAGGGAUAGUUGGGGGCAUUAGUAUUCAAUUGUCAGAGGUGAAAUUCUUGGAUUUAUUGAAGACUAACUACUGCGAAAGCAUUUGCCAAGGAUGUUUUCAUUAAUCAAGAACGAAAGUUAGGGGAUCGAAGACGAUCAGAUACCGUCGUAGUCUUAACCAUAAACUAUGCCGACUAGGGAUCGGAUGAUGUUAAUUUUUUAAUGACUCAUUCGGCGCCUUACG